CCUACGGGUGGCAGCAGUGAGGAAUAUUGGUCAAUGGGCGAGAGCCUGAACCAGCCAAGUCGCGUGAAGGAUGAAGGAUCUAUGGUUUGUAAACUUCUUUUAUAUGGGAAUAAAGUGAGGAACGUGUUCCUUUUUGUAUGUACCAUAUGAAUAAGCAUCGGCUAAUUCCGUGCCAGCAGCCGCGGUAAUACGGAGGAUGCGAGCGUUAUCCGGAUUUAUUGGGGUUAAAGGGUGCGUAGGUGGUUAAUUAAGUCAGCGGUGAAAGUUUGUGGCUCAACCAUAAAAUUGCCGUUGAAACUGGUUGACUUGAGUAUACUUGAGGUAGGCGGAAUGCGUGGUGUAGCGGUGAAAUGCAUAGAUAUCACGCAGAACUCCGAUUGCGAAGGCAGCUUACUAAGCUAUAACUGACACUGAAGCACGAAGGCGUGGGUAUCAAACAGGAUUAGAUACCCGAGUAGUC
rnacentral:rRNA from 1 species